rnacentral:lncRNA from 1 species
GUCUUCGGCAGCCUGGCGGGGCGCGCGGCGCUCGGGUGCUCCUCUAGGCAGCUCUUCAGAAUUAGCAUCGGAAUAUAUUUUUACGCUGUCUUCGUGUUUUGUCGUUUACAAAAAGAAAGGAACCUGAGGAGCGCGGCGUCCGUGGAGCAAGGCCUCGAUGCUACGGCUGCUCUCGGGGGAAGAGCUGCCCGCCCUCCCGGCCCGACCGGCCCCGGGAGCUUCGGCUUCGUGGACCGAGGCCCCCCGCCGCACCUGCCUGUGGGAUCACGCCUGAAACAUGCUGGCUGCCCUCGCCCGCCCCCCCGGCGCUGCGCCCCAGUCGUGAAGCUGUCUCUGCGCUGUCCUGGGGACAACUGGGACAAUUUGUUAUUACUGUGAUUAGAAAUGCUCCUUGCUUGGAAGGAAACACUUAGCAAGUCUGGCAAAGAGACUGCUUAGCCCUUUCAUGGAAGGUGAGUUCAGCUACAUGGUAUGACUCCUUUAAUGUUUUCUCUCUUUGUGCCACCAGAGUACAUAUUUGUGUGUAGUAAAUAAUUCGAUAAGUGAAAYGCACCUGAACUUGCCCUCAGGAACCUCAAAGUCCAGGGAUAUGGAAAGGAAUAAAUUGUUUUGAGGAUCCUUUUUGAAAUAAUGC